GCGGAGGGAUCAUUACUGAGCGAGGGCCUCCGGGUCCGACCUCCAACCCUUUGUGAACCCGUCUUGUUGCUUCGGGGGCGACCCUGCCGAUUCGCGUCGGCGAGCGCCCCCGGAGGCCAUUGAACACUGCAUUACCGCGUCGGAGUUUAAGUAAAUUUAAACAAAACUUUCAACAACGGAUCUCUUGGUUCUGGCAUCGAUGAAGAACGCAGCGAAAUGCGAUAAGUAAUGUGAAUUGCAGAAUUCAGUGAAUCAUCGAAUCUUUGAACGCACAUUGCGCCCUUUGGUAUUCCGAAGGGCAUGCCUGUUCGAGCGUCAUUUCACCACUCAAGCCUGGCUUGGUAUUGGGCGCCGCGGGGGGUAGAUCUCCCGCGCGCCUCAAAGUCUCCGGCUGAGUCGUCCGUCUCCCAGCGUUGUGAUCCAUGAUCGCUCCGGAGUGCGGGCGGCCGCGGCCGUUAAAUCUUUACACAAGGUUGACCUCGGAUCAGGUAGGGAUACCCGCUG
rnacentral:rRNA from 1 species